CUUUGUAUGUCACCUGUAUUAGCAUUUAUAUUCCUCACUGAGUCUGCUCAGUGUACUCUUCUGUUCAUUCCAUGAACAUACUUCUAAAAUAUAUCUGCAAUCUCAUGUAGGCCAGAGCUGGCAACCAGCAAAGCAUUUCAUUUCUCUCUGCCUUAUCUCAUUUAGCCCACAAACGAGAGCAAGUGUGAACAGCAAACUUUCUACAUGAUGGAGGGUCAGGGCGACAGCCUGAAGAGGCAGCAGCUUGAUGUCAUCAGCAUCUUCAUAGUACUCAUUUAGAAUCCUAUUUCUUUUUAGAAAUGAAGACCUGGUUUCCCUACCCACUUCUGGAGGCUGGGUACCGUCCUGCAAAACUUGCUUUCUCAGCAGAAAGAGGUUCUCCAAGAAAGCAGUGCCCUAAAUUCUGCUGUUCACCAUCUGAAAGAUGCAGCCAGAUGAUAUCACUAGUAUGAUAUGUGUUGGAUUACAGCUCUGCCUUCCACAGAGAGGCUAUUUCAGUAAAGGACUUGAACCUAUGAUCUAGGUAGAAGGAAGUUUUUGAAAUGUGCUUAAAGAAGGGAUGGAUCUAAAGUUUCAUCAUUAUUCUUACACGCUUCU